rnacentral:rRNA from 1 species
CCCUUUGGGGUGUGACUGCGUACCUUUUGUAUAAUGGGUCAGCGACUUAUAUUCUGUAGCAAGGUUAACCGUAUAGGGGAGCCGUAGGGAAACCGAGUCUUAACCGGGCGUUAAGUUGCAGGGUAUAGACCCGAAACCCGGUGAUCUAGCCAUGGGCAGGUUGAAGGUUGGGUAACACUAACUGGAGGACCGAACCGACUAAUGUUGAAAAAUUAGCGGAUGACCUGUGGCUGGGGGUGAAAGGCCAAUCAAACCGGGAGAUAGCUGGUUCUCCCCGAAAGCUAUUUAGGUAGCGCCUCGUGAAUUCAUCUCCGGGGGUAGAGCACUGUUUCGGCUAGGGGGCCAUCCCGGCUUACCAACCCGAUGCAAACUGCGAAUACCGGAGAAUGUUAUCACGGGAGACACACGGCGGGUGCUAACGUCCGUCGUGAAGAGGGAAACAACCCAGACCGCCAGCUAAGGUCCCAAAGUCAUGGUUAAGUGGGAAACGAUGUGGGAAGGCCCAGACAGCCAGGAUGUUGGCUUAGAAGCAGCCAUCAUUUAAAGAAAGCGUAAUAGCUCACUGGUCGAGUCGGCCUGCGCGGAAGAUGUAACGGGGCUAAACCAUGCACCGAAGCUGCGGCAGCGAACGUAUCACCCAAGACAACUUUACGGAGUUGACGAUUGACGGAGCGAAGCGACGUCAAAGCGUUCAUUAAAGUCGAGUUGGCUUAGGGAUACGUUCGUUGGGUAGGGGAGCGUUCUGUAAGCCUGUGAAGGUGUGUCGUGAGGC